rnacentral:rRNA from 1 species
GACGAACGCUGGCGGCGUGCUUAACACAUGCAAGUCGAACGGAAAGGCCCUGCUUUUGUGGGGUGCUCGAGUGGCGAACGGGUGAGUAACACGUGAGUAACCUGCCCUUGACUUUGGGAUAACUUCAGGAAACUGGGGCUAAUACCCGAUAGGAGCUCCUGCUGCACGGGGGUGGUUGGAAAGUUUCGGCGGUUUGGGAUGGACUCGCGGCUUACCAGCUUGUUGGGGGGGUAGGGGCUUACAACGCGUUUGACGGGUAGCCGGCCUGGGAGGGUGACCGGCCACCUUGGGCCUGCGGUACGGCCCAGUCUGCUACGGGAGGCAGCAGUGGGGAAUCUUGCACAGUGGGCGGAAGCCUGAUGCAGCAGCGCCGCGUGCGGGAUGACGUCCUUCGGGUUGUGAACCGCUUUCGCCUGUGACGAAGCGUUAGUGACGGUAAUGGGUAAAGAAGCACCGGCUAACUACGUG